rnacentral:misc_RNA from 1 species
CUGUGAGAUUACAUAUGCAUAUAGUGUUAAUGUUAUAAGAGUGUAGUAUCUACUCACAAAGUUAUCAGGUUAAAUAGUUUUAUCAACUAAUAAAAAUGUUAUUGCAUAACUAAUGUUAUAUACUGUAGCCCUGCCACGAUAUCCAGCGAGAAUUAUUUUGCUGAGUAUCGUAGUAAAAGUUAAGAUAUGAUGUUGAGAAUUUUUUUGAGUCGU